UACGUAGGGUGCAAGCGUUGUCCGGAAUUAUUGGGCGUAAAGAGCUCGUAGGCGGUUUGUCGCGUCUGCUGUGAAAACUCGGGGCUCAACUCCGAGCUUGCAGUGGGUACGGGCAGACUAGAGUGCGGUAGGGGAGACUGGAAUUCCUGGUGUAGCGGUGGAAUGCGCAGAUAUCAGGAGGAACACCGGUGGCGAAGGCGGGUCUCUGGGCCGUAACUGGACGCUGAGGAGCGAAAGCAUGGGGAGCGAACAGG
rnacentral:rRNA from 1 species